rnacentral:rRNA from 1 species
AUUGAACGCUGGCGGCAGGCUUAACACAUGCCAGUCGAGCGAGCGGCGGACGGGUGAGUAAUGUCUGGGAAACUGCCUGAUGGAGGGGGAUAACUACUGGAAAAGGUAGCUAAUACCGCAUACCAUCAGAUGUGCCCAGAUGGGCUUAGCUAGUAGGUGGGGUAAUGGCUCACCUAGGCGACGAUCCCUAGCUGGUCUGAGAGGAUGAACAGCAACACUGGAACUGAGACACGGUCUAGACUCCUACGAUAUGCAGCAGUGGGGAAUUGUGCACAAUGGGCGCAAGCCUGAUGCAGCCAUGCCGCGAGUGUGAAGAAGGCCUUCGGGUUGUAAAGCACUUGCAGCGAGGAGGCGUUACUCGAAGAAGAAGCACUGGCUAACUCCGUGCCAGCAGCCGCGGUAAUAC